rnacentral:rRNA from 1 species
ACACGUGAGAAAUCUGCCUUCAACACUGGGAUAACUCCGGGAAACCGGGGCUAAUACCGGAUAUGAAAUCUGCGGGCAUCCGCGGAUUUGGAAAGUUUUUCGGUUGAAGAUGAUCUCGCGGCCUAUCAGCUUGUUGGUGAGGUAAUGGCUCACCAAGGCGACGACGGGUAGCCGGCCUGAGAGGGCGACCGGCCACACUGGGACUGAGACACGGCCCAGACUCCUACGGGAGGCAGCAGUGGGGAAUAUUGGGCAAUGGAGGAAACUCUGACCCAGCGACGCCGCGUGCGGGAUGAAGGCCUUCGGGUUGUAAACCGCUUUCAGCAGGGAAGAAGCGAAAGUGACGGUACCUGCAGAAGAAGCACCGGCUAACCAUGUGCCAGCAGCCGCGGUAAUACAUAGGGUGCAAGCGUUGUCCGGAAUUAUUGGGCGUAAAGAGCUCGUAGGUGGUUCGUCACGUCGGAUGUGAAACUCUGGGGCUUAACCCCAGACCUGCAUUCGAUACGGGCGAGCUUGAGUAUGGUAGGGGAGUCUGGAAUUCCUGGUGUAGCGGUGGAAUGCGCAGAUAUCAGGAGGAACACCAAUGGCGAAGGCAGGACUCUGGGCCAUUACUGACACUGAGGAGCGAAAGCGUGGGGAGCGAACAGGAUUAGAUACCCUGGUAGUCCACGCCGUAAAC